GACGAACGCUGGCGGCGUGUUUAACACAUGCAAGUCGAACGAUGAAGCCGGAGCUUGCUCUGGUGAAUUAGUGGCGAACGGGUGAGUAACACGUGAGUAACCUGCCCUUGACUCUGGGAUAACUGCUAGAAAUGGUAGCUAAUACCGGAUACGACCCUCGGCGGCAUCGCCAGGGGGUGGAAAGAAUUUCGGUCAAGGAUGGACUCGCGGCCUAUCAGCUAGUUGGUGAGGUAACGGCUCACCAAGGCGACGGCGGGUAGCCGGCCUGAGAGGGUGACCGGCCACACUGGGACUGAGACACGGCCCAGACUCCUACGGGAGGCAGCAGUGGGGAAUAUUGCACAAUGGGCGCAAGCCUGAUGCAGCAACGCCGCGUGAGGGAUGACGGCCUUCGGGUUGUAAACCUCUUUUAGUAGGGAAGAAGCGAAAGCGACGGUACCUGCAGAAAAAGCACCGGCUAACUACGUGCCAGCCGCCGCGGUAA
rnacentral:rRNA from 1 species